rnacentral:rRNA from 1 species
AUGUUCGGUUAAGUCCGCUAACGAGCGCAACCCUCGUCGUGUGUUAUACGUGUCACACGAUACUGCCGGUAUCAAGCCGGAGGAGUGGGAUGAUGUCAAGUCAGCAUGGCCUUUAUAUCCUGGGCUACACACACGCUACAAUGGCAGAUACAAUAGGUUGCGAAACCGCGAGGUGGAGCCAAUCCUCAAAGUCUGUCUCAGUUCAGAUUGUAGGCUGCAACUCGCCUGCAUGAGGCCGGAAUCGCUAGUAAUCGCGGAUCAGCAUGCCGCGGUCGAAUACGUUCCGGCCUU